rnacentral:rRNA from 1 species
UGCUGGAGGUAUCAGAAGUGCGAAUGCUGACAUAAGUAACGAUAAAGCGGGUGAAAAGCCCGCUCGCCGGAAGACCAAGGGUUCCUGUCCAACGUUAAUCGGGGCAGGGUGAGUCGACCCCUAAGGCGAGGCCGAAAGGCGUAGUCGAUGGGAAACAGGUUAAUAUUCCUGUACUUGGUGUUACUGCGAAGGGGGGACGGAGAAGGCUAUGUUGGCCGGGCGACGGUUGUCCCGGUUUAAGCGUGUAGGCUGGUUUUCCAGGCAAAUCCGGAAAACCAAGGCUGAGGCGUGAUGACGAGGCACUACGGUGCUGAAGCAACAAAUGCCCUGCUUCCAGGAAAAGCCUCUAAGCAUCAGGUAACAUCAAAUCGUACCCCAAACCGACACAGGUGGUCAGGUAGAGAAUACCAAGGCGCUUGAGAGAACUCGGGUGAAGGAACUAGGCAAAAUGGUGCCGUAACUUCGGGAGAAGGCACGCUGAUAUGUAGGUGAAGCGACUAGCUCGUGGAGCUGAAAUCAGUCGAAGAUACCAGCUGGCUGCAACUGUUUAUUAAAAACACAGCACUGUGCAAACACGAAAGUGGACGUAUACGGUGUGACGCCUGCCCGGUGCCGGAAGGUUAAUUGAUGGGGUUAGCGGUAACGCGAAGCUCUUGAUCGAAGCCCCGGUAAACGGCGGCCGUAACUAUAACGGUCCUAAGGUAGCGAAAUUCCUUGUCGGGUAAGUUCCGACCUGCACGAAUGGCGUAAUGAUGGCCAGGCUGUCUCCACCCGAGACUCAGUGAAAUUGAACUCGCUGUGAAGAUGCAGUGUACCCGCGGCAAGACGGAAAGACCCCGUGAACCUUUACUAUAGCUUGACACUGAACAUUGAGCCUUGAUGUGUAGGAUAGGUGGGAGGCUUUGAAGUGUGGACGCCAGUCUGCAUGGAGCCGACCUUGAAAUACCACCCUUUAAUGUUUGAUGUUCUAACGUUGGCCCGUAAUCCGGGUUGCGGACAGUGUCUGGUGGGUAGUUUGACUGGGGCGGUCUCCUCCUAAAGAGUAACGGAGGAGCACGAAGGUUGGCUAAUCCUGGUCGGACAUCAGGAGGUUAGUGCAAUGGCAUAAGCCAGCUUGACUGCGAGCGUGACGGCGCGAGCAGGUGCGAAAGCAGGUCAUAGUGAUCCGGUGGUUCUGAAUGGAAGGGCCAUCGCUCAACGGAUAAAAGGUACUCCGGGGAUAACAGGCUGAUACCGCCCAAGAGUUCAUAUCGACGGCGGUGUUUGGCACCUCGAUGUCGGCUCAUCACAUCCUGGGGCUGAAGUAGGUCCCAAGGGUAUGGCUGUUCGCCAUUUAAAGUGGUACGCGAGCUGGGUUUAGAACGUCGUGAGACAGUUCGGUCCCUAUCUGCCGUGGGCGCUGGAGAACUGAGGGGGGCUGCUCCUAGUACGAGAGGACCGGAGUGGACGCAUCACUGGUGUUCGGGUUGUCAUGCCAAUGGCACUGCCCGGUAGCUAAAUGCGGAAGAGAUAAGUGCUGAAAGCAUCUAAGCACGAAACUUGCCCCGAGAUGAGUUCUCCCUGAGACUUAGAGUCUCCUGAAGGAACGUUGAAGACGACGACGUUGAUAGGCCGGGUGUGUAAGCGCAGCGAUGCGUUGAGCUAACCGGUACUAAUGAACCGUGAGGCUUAACC